GGAGUUGUGGCUCAGCGGUAGAGCACUCACCUAGCAUAUGCAAGGCCCUGGGUUCGAUCCUCAGCACUUCA
rnacentral:tRNA from 1 species